rnacentral:lncRNA from 1 species
UUUUUUUUAAAAAAAAAAAAAAAUAAUAUGUGAAAUUAAUCAUAAGAGCGACAAUAUUAUAUGAUGUAUAUAUAAAACUAUAGGCUUAGAAAUAGUUAGAUUAUAUUUAUUCCAUACAGAAACAUUGAAGAUUAAUACAAAUAUGGUCUAAAUGAGGAGGACAAAAUUCUUGACAAUCAUAUUCGUCAAUACACAACACAGAUGUUCCUGUAAUGUAUACCAAAGUAAUGUGUGUUAAUAAAAGGGGAUAAAAAUUUGUGUACAAGGUAAAGCCAAAAUAAUUGAAAAGAUUAUUCAAAAAUAAUAAUAAUUGAAAAGAUUAUUAUAAAAUAAAAAAAAUAAAAAAAAUUGAAAAGAUGAGAAAAAGCUUACCAGAGCUUGUGGCUCUUACAAUAGAAAAUAGGGAGAGAAACACAAUCAUAACAUAAACAAAUUUGAGAAAUUUAGUCAUUUUGUUUCUUCUGGUUUCUUUUAGAACUUAUAUGGAGAUGCAAGAUAUUCUUCUAGUUUUUNNN